AUGAGGUGCAGUCUCUUCCCAGGCUCCACGAGUUUUCGGGGCUCAAAGAAACACCAGCAGCGUCCCGGGAGGAGAAAGAGGGUCCCCCGUCCUUUGGGGCCGCGCGGGACCCGGCUGCGGGGGCUGGACUCCCCGCUACCCAUUUCCGAAAAGUCGCCGCAGAUUUUCGGCCACCAGAAGCCGCCUAGUGCAAGGCAAGCGUCGGAGUUUGGAGAGGCCUGGGCAGGUGUGACCGGGUGGUGCAGAGGCUUCUCAAGAAAGGGGCAGCUUUUUUGCGGGGUGUGUGUGUGUGGGGGAAGCUUUCGUCCGAAAUUUAGCUCCGCUGGGGCUUGGGAUAUUUGCUUUUCCUCCCCAACGUCUGCUUUAUUCUCUUCCAAAGAGCAUGUUCUGUUGCCGGAUUCUGGGCAUUUUCCGACCUCGUCAAAAAGGAUAUGCCGGGAAAGGAACAUGCAGAUAGUUUAACAUUCUUUGGUUGGAGUCUGAGGAAGUGUCACCUUGACGCUAAGGAGACUUGGCGCUUUCAGGGAGUGUAAAACUUGCAAAAUUAAGAUCCCCCCCUCCGUCUUUCCUAAAGACAACUUUCUCUUCCCCUGCCCCAGCUUUCUUCAGCAUAAAGCCUUGAUGAGCCCUAGGCUGGAAUCACUGGAAGUUAAGGAGUCUGGGGGGGGGGAGAAAGAACUAGAAAGUCCUGGAAGUGGGGCGGGAGUGGCUUUAGAUUGAAGCAAAGGUCAGGAUGACCCCAGGGGAGAAGCCUUUGUCGAGUUUCCCCCCCCCACUUCCUUUCUCUCCCAUUCCUGCUUUCAGUCCUCACUCAGGCUUGUAGUUAACAGUAGUAUUUUUAGAUUUAAAAUUUUGCCAAGUGAAAUUUUUCCUUAAGUGUACGUGUUACAUGCAAAAAAAAAUACAUAAAUUACGUAUAUAUAUAUAUGAGGGGGUGAGAGGAAACUUUAGGAGGUGAUGUAUUUGUUUGCAUAGCUUGUGGUUUUGCCACUGUAUGCUUCUCUCCAACCUGAUGAAGUUGCUUAUAUUGAAUAUUUAUGGCUUGUUUGUGUGUCAGUCAUACCUCAAUAAAAUGGUUUUUAAAAAAGUUGCA
rnacentral:lncRNA from 1 species